UUACUUCCAACGGGAAUUACCUGGUGAUCAUGAAGACCCAUGGCUUAGGUAAGAGGCUUCCAUUGCACUUCGGAAGGGCUCUUGCCUAAGGUCUUCUCAUAGUAAGAGAGCCUACGUCAUAAUUUGUGAUAGUGGGGGCUUGAGUUCGCUCGGCCUCCGU